rnacentral:tRNA from 1 species
GCGGACGUGGCGGAAUUGGCAUACGCGUACGGCUUAGGACCGUAUCCCUAUGGGAUGAGAGUUCAAGUCUCUCCGUCCGCACCA